GACGAACGCUGGCGGCAUGCUUAACACAUGCAAGUCGAACGGAAAGGCCCUGCUUUUGUGGGGUGCUCGAGUGGCGAACGGGUGAGUAACACGUGAGUAACCUGCCCUUGACUUUGGGAUAACUUCACGAAACUGGGGCUAAUACCGGAUAGGAUCUCCUGCUGCAUUGUGGGGAUUGGAAAUUUUCGGCUGGUGGGGAUGGACUCGCGGCUUAUCAGCUUGUUGGUUGGGUAGUCGUUUACCAAGGCUUUGACGGGUCGCCGGCAUGUGAGGGGGACCGGCCACAUGGGGACUGCGAUACGGACCAGAGUGGUACGGGAGACAAUGGUGGCGAAUAUGGCCCAGUGGGAGGAAGCGUGUGAAGGAAACCCUCGGGGCGGAAAGACGGCUUGUGGGUUGUAAAAAGCUUCCGCCUGUGACGAAGCGUGAGUGACGGUAAUGGGUGAAGAAGCACCGGCUAACUACGUG
rnacentral:rRNA from 1 species